GCUUAAGAAAAUAUCGUCUGGAUUUUUUACUUCUGUUCAUUUUAUUUACUCUUUACAUUAAAUUACUCAAAUGUUAUUUUUAAUUAAUGUUUUAAUCUAACUGAUCGUUAAUUGUUUCUUUCCAGAAAAGAUCCCGAUAGCAGAUGUAGUUUAGGAGCAAAUCAUCACAUCUUUAUUCCAGACUCCGAAUGAAGUCCUAGAAGAAAACAAAUAAUAUAAAUCUUCAACAGCAACAAGUCUACAGAUAGAAUUCAAAUAAGUUAUAUCAGGUAUAAGAAUUCCGAUCUUCUGUCUACGAAUGUAUAGGUCCUGUAUACAUAUAAACUGUAAGUUACCUAUAGGCAA